AUUUAUUAAUAUAAGAAAGCAAAUCCGCUGAACUUAAGCAUAUUAUUAAGCGGAAGAAAAGAAAAUAACAAUGAUUCUUUUAGUAACGGCGAGUGAACAAAGAAAAGCUCAACAUGGAAAAUCCGACAGAUAGCUACCCGCGAUUUGUCGGAAUUGUCAAGUUGAAAAACAUUCCAAGAGUUCUUUUUUAUAAUAUGACAAUGAGAAGAAGUAGAUAGAAAUGUCUCUCCUUAGAGGGUGAAAGACCCGUAUUCUUAAUCAUAAAACUGAUCAAUUGGAAUGUUUUGUUUUUGAGUCGUGUUCUUUGAGACUGGAGCACUAAUUAGUGUGAUACAUUUCACAUAAAGCUAAAUAUUUGUAAGAAACCGAUAGUAAACAAGUACCGUGAGGGAAAGAUGAAAUAGUACUCAGGAAUGAGCAAUUAAAUAGUACCUGAAAUCGUUAAGAUGGAACGGAUUAAAAAAGGAAAAAAGUAACAACAUAGUUAAAAUGAGAGAUUUUGGUGCGCGCAAUAAAGAAUGGAGUCCUUAAAAAAGGAUGUAGAUAUUCAAGUAUCAAAACAAAAUUUUUCUUUUUUUAAAAAGAAAUUUUUUGAAGCUUUUGUUAUAAUAUUCAUUUUUAUUCUUAUCCUUUUUUUUAGGUAAGAUAAAAAUGAUACAAAAGUUGUCUUUCAUACUAUAUAUAUAUAUAUAUAUAUAUAUAUAUAAAUAUUAUGUUCUUAUUAAAAGAAACAUGAGUGAAUGAAAAUAAAUAAUCGUGGAGCAAAAAUAAACACAAUAACAAGAAAAAAAAAUAAAAAAAAUAAAAUAAAAUAAUUAAAAUAAAAAUAAAACAAAAAGAAACAAAAAAAAGCAAAAUAUAAAAUAAAAGAAUUAAUUGAAUUUAAUUUCAUUUUAUUUUUUUCCUUUUAUAUUUUGCUUUUUUAUUUUGUUUUAUUUUUAUUUUAAUUAUUAUUUUUUUUUUUUUUUUUUUUUUCCCUUAUUGACUAUUUUUCUAAGCUAAUGUGGAAAAAUAUAACUUGCUUCUUUUUUUUUUUUUCUUUUCUGAAGGGAGAAAAAAAAGAAAAAUAUGAAAGAUACAUUUAUUUAAUUUACUGAGGAUUGUGAAAAUUAUAUUAAUUGUAUAUGAUGCGAAAUAAUAUAAUUUAAGAUGUUUUUAUAAAGUACUUUUUUAACCCACUCGUCUUGAAACACGGACCAAGGAGUCUAACAAAUGUGCAAGUGUAUAUGAUAAGAAUAAACAUAGUAUAAAAAUUUCUACGCAUAAUUAAUGUAACAAAAAUAUAUGUUUAUUAAUUGUAGAUUUUGUGGGGUUUUAAAUUUUUUUUAUAAAUCCACACAAAUGCAUACAAUACCGGUGAGCAAUUAUGCUUUAUUGAGUAAGAGCAUACUUGUUAGGACCCGAGAGGCUUUGAACUAAACGUGAUGAGAUUGAAGUCAGAGUAAAAUCUGAUGGAGGAUCGAGUUGAUACUGACGUGCAAAUCGUUCAUUUCAAUUGCGUUUAGGGGCGAAAGACUAAUCGAAAAGCCUAUUAGCUGGUUAUUUUCGAAAGAUCUCUCAGGAUCGCUGGAGUUGAUUAUAAUAUAGUUUUACCUGGUAGAAAUAAUGAUUAGAGGAUUCAAGGAGAUGAUAAUUCCUUGACCUAUAUAUAUCGAAAGAUUCAAUAGGUAAAAAAAUGAGGAAAUAACUUUAUUGUAUUUUCAUUCAUAUUUAAAAAUAAGAUAACUCCAAGUUGGCCAUUUUUGGUAAGCAGAACUGGCGAUGAGGGAUGCUCCUAACGCUUGGAUAAGGUGCCUAAAUAUCCGCUCAUUAGAUACCAUUAAAAAGGUGUUGGUUUGUGAUUACAGUAGGACGGUAUUCAUAGAAGUUGAAAUCCGCUAGGAAGUGUGUAACAACUUACCUACCUAAUAAACUCGCCCUGAAAAUGGAUGGCGCUAAAGCGGAUUACCGAUACCAAGCCAUAAAAAAGAAAAAAAAAAAAAAUUCAAUAUUUUUUUUAUUUUUUUAGAUUCUUUUUAUGAGUAGAAAAUCGUGGGGUUUUGUGUUGAAGCGAAAUACGUGAGUUUUCGUGGAACAUCUCCCUAGUGCAGAUCUUGGUGGAAGUAGCAAAUAUUCUUAUGAGAACUUUGAAGACUGAAGUGGAGAAGGGUUUUUUGUAAACUAUGUUUGAGCAAAAGUUAGCCGUUCCUAAGAGAUAGCUGAAAAGCGUUAUAAAUUGAGGUUACCUAUUAUAUGAAAAGUAUAGUAGUGUUUUUUCUCUUCUCGAAAGGGAAGCAGGUUGAUAUUCCUGCGCCAUAUGUAAUAAGAACUAAUAAAUAGAGAUGGUAACAUAUAUAUAAAUAAAUGAACUCCUUAACAUAGGCCUUACACUUGGAGUGCGUUAUCUUUGCACUUUAACUUUAUAUCAAACCUUCGAAAUCGAUUUACUUGUAGAAAAGGUUCGAUGAAUUUACAAUAAGCAAUUUAUUUAUUAUAUGCGUGGACCGGUACACAUGAUAUAUAUAUUAAUGAAUUGUUUUGUAGUAAUAGUAAUUCGUUUGUUGUACGAAUUAUCCAAAGUUGUAUGGACUAUCCAUGAAAAAAGGAGGGAACACUAAAUUAAAUGGGAAUGUAUAAAAUACUAUAAAAGUAUGAAAGAAGAAAAAGUAAAGAAAGGAAAGAAAAAAAAAUAUUAACCUUCAGCUUUUUUUUCUAUUUUUUUUUUCUUUUUUUGCUUUCAUAUAUUUUUAUAGUGUUUUUACAUUAACCAUUUUUUUUUUUAUAUUCUUAAAUUACAAUUAUAAAAAUGAACGUACCAAUAACCGCAUCAGGUCUCCAAGGUUAGUAGCCUCUGGUUAAAUAGAAAAACGUAGGUAAGGGAAGUAAGCAAAUUAGAUCCGUAACUUCGGGAAAAGGAUUGGCUCUGAUAACACAAAAUGAGAAGAAAAAAAUGAAAAGAAAAAAAUGAAAAGAAAAAAAUGAAAAGAAUUGUGGUUGAAAAUAAAAAUGUUAAGAUGUUUAUUUAUAUAUUUAUAUUAGUUUUUCUUAUAUUUUAAGAUUAAUUAAUUAAUUAUAUAUUUAAUAUGUUAAAAUGUUUUAUAUUUCUUCUUCUACUCUAUUCUAUUCCAUUCUAUUCUAUUCUAUUUUUUUUUUUCUCUUUCUCUUCGAUAUUACAUAUAUUUUGUUAUUAUAAUAAAAAUUAUGUAAUAUUGUUUAGCUGUGUUUAUUCAGAACUGAAACGGACAAGGGGAAUCCGACUGUUUAAUAAAAACAUAGCAUUGUGAAAAGCUAUAACUGGUAUUAACACAAUGUGAUUUCUGCCCAGUGCUUUGAAUGUCAAGUUGAUGAAAAUUUCAAUUAAGCGCAGGUAAACGGCGGGAGUAACUAUUAUGACUCUCUUAAGGUAGCCAAAAAUGUAUGGUCGAUAAAAAGGACCAUCAGGAAUGGAUUAACGAGAUUCCUACUGUCCCUACUUGCGAUCUAGCGAAACCACAACCAAGGGAAAGGGCUUGGUAAAAUCAGCAGGGAAAGAAGACCCUGUUGUGCUUUACUCUAGUCUGACUUUGUAAAAAGAUUUAAGAGGUAUAGUAUAAGUGGUAGUAGAAAUUGAAAUAAUGUUUUUACGUCAGUGAAAUACCACUACUUUUAAAACGUUUUUACUAAUCCAUUUAUCUAGUGAAUGACUAUUAUAUAAAUAUAUAUAUAUAUAUAUUUUCUAUAUUUUAUGUGUAUCACUUUUUAUGGAGACAGAGUCAGGUGGGGAGUUUGACUAAGGUGGUACAUCUGUUAAAAAAUAACGCAGAUGUCCAAAGAUAAGCUCAAGGAGAACAGAAAUCUCUUGUAGACUAAAAGGGGAAAAGCUUGUUUGAUUUCUAUUUUCAGAAAGAAUAGAAAACGUGAAAACGUGGCCUAUCGAUCCUUUAUAUUUGCAAAAUGACGUAAAAUUAUUUACUACUGUGCAUAUAAAGGUGUCUGAAAAGUUACCACAGGGAUAACUUGUUUGUGGCUGCUUAGCGAUAUUAGCAACGUGGCUUUUUGUAUUUUCGAUUACGGCUCUUCCUAUCAUUGGGACGCAGAAGUCUCAAAGUGUCGGAUUGUUCACCCGCUAAUAGGGAACGUGAGCUGGGUUUAGACCGUCGUGAGACAGGUUAGUUUUACCCUACUGAUGAAUAUUAUUAUAUUAUUAUAUAUAUAUAUAGUAUUGUGACAGUAAUCCAACUUGGUACGAGAGGAUUAGUUGGUUCAGACAAUUGGUACAGCAAUUGGGUUGAUAAACCAGUGUUGCGAAGCUACGUCUGUUGGAUAAUGACUGAACGAUUCUAAAGUCAGAACCCAUACUGAUUAAACAAUAAUAUAAUUGUAUAUUUUUGUUAUAAGGUUGUGUUUUAUUUUUUUUUAUUGCUAAUGUAAAAGAGAAAUUUAAUAUAUGCGUUAAUCUAUAUAUAUUAUGUAUAGAUUUUCAUAAACAUAUAAAUAAUCCCAUAAAGACGUAUCUUUUUUUUUUCUAAACAAAGAAAAAUAUGUUCUUUUUAUUGUAAUUUAACAACAAAAAUAAUCUAAAGUAUAUUGUAGACGACAUUUUUAGCCUCAGAGUGCUGUAAACAUGUGAGCAAACUUGUUUUGCGAACUGUUCAGGCUUAUCUCUUGUGGUUUUUGCUUUU
rfam:Plasmodium falciparum RAJ116 genomic scaffold supercont1.115, whole genome shotgun sequence.